rnacentral:lncRNA from 1 species
AUGACUGCAUGGAGCGCCGUUACCUUCCCGCCAGAGCAGUACCUAUUGAUCUACUCACACUCUGGGGGUUGGUGCUCAUCUCCAUUUCUAAGCCGAAGAGCUGGUGUUGUCCGUAGACACCUCCAAGGUCAUGUGGCCAUAGGCAUGACUGCAUGGAGCGCCGUUACCUUCCCGCCAGAGCAGUACCUAUUGAUCUACUCACACUCUGGGGGUUGGUGCUCAUCUCCAUUUCUAAGCCGAAGAGCCAGCGUUGUCCGUAGACACCUCCAAGGUCAUGUGGCCAUUGGCAUGACUGCAUGGAGCGCCGUUACCUUCCCGCCAGAGCAGUACCUAUUGAUCUACUCACACUCUGGGGGUUGGUGCUCAUCUCCAUUUCUAAGCCGAAGAGCUGGUGUUGUCCGUAGACACCUCCAAGGUCAUGUGGCCAUAGGCAUGACUGCAUGGAGCGCCGUUACCUUCCCGCUGGAGAGGUACCUAUUGAUCUACUCACACUCUGGGGGUUGGUGCUCAUCUCCAUUUCUAAGCCGAAGAGCCAGCGUUGUCCGUAGACACCUCCAAGGUCAUGUGGCCAUUGGCAUGACUGCAUGGAGCGCCGUUACCUUCCCGCCAGAGCAGUACCUAUUGAUCUACUCACACUCUAGGGGUUGGUGCUCAUCUCCAUUUCUAAGCCGAAGAGCUGGUGUUGUCCGUAGACACCUCCAAGGUCAUGUGGCCAUAGGCAUGACUGCAUGGAGCGCCGUUACCUUCCCGCUGGAGAGGUACCUAUUGAUCUACUCACACUCUGGGGGUUUGUGCUCAUCUCCAUUUCUAAGCCGAAGAGCCAGCGUUGUCCGUAGACACCUCCAAGGUCAUGUGGCCAUUGGCAUGACUGCAUGGAGCGCCGUUACCUUCCCGCCAGAGCAGUACCUAUUGAUCUACUCACACUCUGGGGGUUUGUGCUCAUCUCCAUUUCUAAGCCGAAGAGCCAGCGUUGUCCGUAGACACCUCCAAGGUCAUGUGGCCAUUGGCAUGACUGCAUGGAGCGCCGUUACCUUUUUUUUUUUUUUUUUAAAUAUGUUUUUAUUGUAG